CUGUGAUUGCAGGUGUAAUAAUGAACACCAUGUUUAAUAAAAAUAUGUAUUUGUUUAGGUGUCACCGACCAAACAUCUCCUCUUUAACUGUCUGUAUUCUUCACUAGAAGCCUCCAUCACACUGGACUGGUGAACAUAGGGUCAUGGGGGGUGAUGAAUCCAGUGUGGUGACCAAGCGCAGGGCUGUGACAGUGGCCCAUGUGGAGAGCACUCUGGCUACUCAGCCUUUAUUGAGUGGCACCACAGAAAGAAGCCAAAGGGAGGGUGGCCUCACUAUAAAGGAUAUGUGCUUUUUGUUAGUGGUAGCCGCUUUGAAAACACCUGUAAAUUGAACUCUCUGCUGGAAAAGUCACAGCUGACCAAAAGGGUGUCUGCUUCCCUCAAAAUAUAGGGACGAUUCCGAUGAUUCCACUGAUAUUCAUAGUGAGAAUGAGCCAAAGAAAGUUAAGGUGACAUUCAUUUACAUUUGUUUUACAGUAUACAGUCAUGGAUAAAAUUGUGGUUACCCCAUUAUAAUUAAUGAAAUAUCAACAAAGGUCACUAAAAUAACUUGAAACUGAGAAAAGCAAUAAUAAAUAAAAGUUUCCUGACAAAUAACCAAUGAAAA